UACGUAGGGGGCAAGCGUUGUCCGGAAUCAUUGGGCGUAAAGCGCGCGUAGGCGGCCCGGUAAGUCCGUUGUGAAAGUCAAAGGCUCAACCUUUGAACGCCGAUGGAUACUGCCGGGCUAGAGUCCGGAAGAGGCGAGUGGAAUUCCCGGUGUAGUGGUGAAAUGCGUAGAUAUCGGGAGGAACACCAGUGGCGAAGGCGACUACCUGGCCUGUUCUUGACGCUGAGGCGCGAAAGCUAGGGGAGCAAACGGG
rnacentral:rRNA from 1 species